rnacentral:rRNA from 1 species
UACCAUGGCAGUCACGGGUAACGGGGAAUUAGGGUUCUAUUCCGGAGAGGGAGCCUGAGAAACGGCUACCACAUCUAAGGAAGGCAGCAGGCGCGUAAAUUCCCCAAUCCUGAUUCAGGGAGGUAGUGACAAGAAAUAACAACUCGGGGGCUCACGCCUUACGAGAUUGAAAUGAGAACAAUCUAAACCCCUUAUCGAGGAACAAUUGGAGGGCAAGUCUGGUGCCAGCAGCCGCGGUAAUUCCAGCUCCAAUAGCGUAUAUUAAAGUUGUUGCAGUUAAAAAGCUCGUAGUUGAAUUUCUGGCGUAUAUUCUUUUGGCACCUGUCGAGAGAGUGUAUGUCAUCCGCUAGAGAACUAUAUUCGUCCUUCAGUGGUCGAUAUAGGGAUCUGGCAAUUUACUUUGAAAAAAUUAGAGUGUUCAAGGCAGGCCAUUGCCAUGAAUACACAAGCAUGGAAUAAUGGAAUAGGACUAUGGUUCAUUUUGUUGGUUAUUGAACCUUAGUAAUGAUUAAUAGGGACAGUUGGGGGCAUUAGUAUUUAAUUGUCAGAGGUGAAAUUCUUGGAUUUAUUAAAGACUAACUUAUGCGAAAGCAUUUGCCAAGGAUGUUUUCAUUAAUCAAGAACGAAAGUUAGGGGAUCAAAGACGAUCAGAUACCGUCCUAGUCUUAACUAUAAACUAUACCGACUAGGGAUUGGCCGGGUCUUUUAAUCUCGGUCAGCACCUUAUGAGAAAUCAAAGUCUUUGGGGGGGGAGUAUGGUCGCAAGGCUGAAACUUAAAGGAAUUGACGGAAGGGCACCACCAGGAGUGGAGCCUGCGGCUUAAUUUGACCCAACACGGGGAAACUUACCAGGUCAAGACAUGGGUGGGAUUGACAGAUUGAGAGCUCUUUCUUGAUUCUAUGGGUGGUGGUGCAUGGCCGUUCUUAGUUGGUGGAGUGAUUUGUCUGGUUAAUUCCGUUAACGAACGAGACCUUAACCUGCUAACUAGUCGUGUCUUCACAAAAGGCAUUGACUUCUUAGAGGGACUAUGUGUUCAAGCACAUGGAAGUUUGAGGCAAUAACAGGUCAGUGAUGCCCUUAGAUGUCCUGGGCCGCACGCGCGCUAUACUGAUACAUUCAGCAAGUUCUAUCCUGGCCCGGAAGGGUUUCGGGUAAUCUUCAUAGUAUGUAUCGUGCUAGGGAUCGAUCUUUGGAAUUAUAGAUCUUGAACGAAGAAUUCCUAGUAAGUGCAAGUCAUCAGCUUGUACUGAUUACGUCCCUGCCCUUUGUACACACCGCCCGUCGCUCCUACCGAUUUCGAGUGAUCCGGUGAACCUUCCGGACUGCGGUAGCACAAGCUAUUGCGGGAAGUUAAGUGAACCACUUCACUUAGAGGAAGGAGAAGUCGUAACAAGGUU